CUGCUGUCCUAUUGGAUGACUGAACUAAAUCCAAAUUCAACCCUCUGGGGGUACAAUCCCAGAAGGAAAGACAAUUUCAUCCUCAGCACCUUAAAGAGAAGUCUCACAUAGUCCCCCAGGCCAGCUGGGCAGCUGCAUUCCAAGGACGAAGUGCCUCUUUGAAGUUGGAAGCUCUAGAUGUCUUGCCCUACGUCUUGCUAAAGCUCUGCAGAAUGAUCAAAAUAACUGAGACUUGAGCUGCCUUCCUUCCAGAAGAGGUUUCCUAGGGCAAGAUGACACACAGCCACAUUUUAUGAGUCCUCCAGACGAGCCAGUUGCAAGGCGGUUGCCAGGCCAAGUAAAAUCCAGAUGGUGUCCUCUGUAUUCCCAAGAGUUUGGGAUUUUGGAGGUGUGACAUGGGGAGCAAAGGAUUUUGGCCAUGGUCUAGCUACAUACCAAAGACUGGACUUCAGUCACAGAAUAAGGUCACACAUUGAACAUUUAGACAAUCAUCAGUUCUUGCCAAGAAAUAACUCAAGAGUUAAGCCGUUACUGAAUCUGCAUUCAACAUUUGUGUCGGAGAUUGAAAUCCAAAAGGUAAUCUUUUUCUCUCAUCCCUCAUAA
rnacentral:lncRNA from 1 species